UCCGGCUUAACGCCGGCGGUCUCGCUAGAGUCCCCGGCAUGACCCGCUGGCAACUAGCGACAAGGGUUUCGCUCGUUAAGGGACUUAACCCGACACUUCACAGCACGAGCUGACGACAGCCAUGCAGCACCUGUGCACGUUGUACCCGACUCUACGGGUCGCCGACCCUUUCGGGCGACUACUGCCAACAUGUCAAACCCAGGUAAGGUUCUUCGCGUUGCAUCGAAUUAAUCCACAUGCUCCGCCGCUUGUGCGGGCCCCCGUCAAUUCCUUUGAGUUUUAGCCUUGCGGCCGUACUCCCCAGGCGGGGCGCUUAAUGCGUUAGCUACGGCACGGAUCCCGUGGAAGGAAACCCACACCUAGCGCCCACCGUUUACGGCGUGGACUAC
rnacentral:misc_RNA from 1 species